rnacentral:misc_RNA from 1 species
GCUUGUUGGUCUUCACCUCAGUACCCUCAGCAACCAAUUUUUGCACCCUCUUACUUCCCACUUUCUUGACUGGAAUUGGCCUAGGCUCACUUAUUGGUUCAUCUUUAUAGACGCGCAAUUCGACAUUGCAAAAAGAUUGGUCUCUCCUUACAUCUAGGGCAGGUCGGCUUACAGUUCCAACCACUGCUUGAUUCUUUUGAAUUACAGUUUCAACAACUCGACGCUUCCGAUCCUCAUCAAAUGAAGUAUUUAUUCCAUUGGUUACAUCUAAUUGCGGCUCCUCUAGGGUAUUAAUCCUUUUAUUUUGUACAUCCUCACUGAUUUUAUCACAUUCACUAGCUCUACUCCUCUUCACUCUAGAAUAA